CACUCCUCGGCUGGUGCCACGCAGCAUCCAAAAUGCAUCCUAAUGACUUCAGCCUGUUGAAAGCACCUCCCUCAGGCCAUCCCAGCCUCCUUGGCCUCAUGUGGGAGGAUGCUGAGGGACCUCUCUCUGAUCCCCCUGAGACCCCUAGGAGGACUGAGCCCCAGUUGUCUACGAAGGUCACCUGGUUGUUCAUGCAUCCUCUUUCGGCUUCUUCCCUGUGCCUGCCUCACUUUCCCACCUCCCUGGAGGGGCUGCUGGGAUCAUUCUCUGAACAGACUGCUUGCACUAAAAUCCUCGUGUCAGAGUCAGCUCUGGAGGAACCCAGCCUAUACCACUGGGGCAUGCAAUUAUUGAGCCAGGCCUUCUUUCAAGGGCUCUGUGUGUACAAACCUGCUUAAUCCUCACAACAACCCUGUGAGACAGGUACUGUUGUUAUUACUCCCAUUUCGCAGAUAAAGAAACUGAGGCACAGAGAGGCUGGGACACUUGUAAAAGUCACACAGCAAAUAAGUGGUGGAGGUGGGAUCCACGCCUGGGCUGUCUGACUGUAGGUCAUAAGAGUUAGUUUCGCUGUUUUCUAGGUAAGGAAACCAAGGCUUGGAAAGGCUAGGGUGCUGGCCCAAAGUCACACAGCGACACAUUGAGGAGCUGGGAUUGCAGUUCCAGAGCCGGCUUGCUUAGCCGCCUUAUGAUUGUCCCUCAGGUGGGCCUCACUCGCCUGUUCCCCACACUGAUCCUGGUCUGCACUGGGAGGUGCUGGGUGCCACCUUGCCCCGAGGGCUGGCUGGGGCUCUGCGUGCACGCACACAAGACAGAGUGUGCUGGAUGGGCAAUCCCCAACUUAUUUAUGCAACCUGAGAUCUGCUGACUGAAGAAAACCGCCUGCCCACAGAGGGCUGAAGAUAGGGAUCGGGUAUUCUCUGAGCCAUCCAUCCUCCACGCACCUAGAGUGCUGUAGUCAGAGGGUUUGACAGUCCCAGAUGCCGGGGGCCUGCAUCUCAUGGUCCUCUGCUCACCACCAAGAUCAGAGAUAGCUCAGGGUAAUGUUCAGACCCUCGAGGAGGCGGCGGCAGUGACUUCAGCAGAGAGGCCAGGGGGAUGGACGGGAGCGGAACCUGGGACCCCUGGCGCGAGGAAAUAGCAUUGCAGAGAGGCCACAGGACUUGCUGUAAGUCACACAAAUGGGAAGUGGCAGAACUUGAACCCAGGACUUCUCAACUCAAAAGCUGGCCACCAUCGCUGCCUGGGAGCCACCUCAGCUUCAUGGGGCUGGGUUGAGGUGGCGGAGCUACAGACCCUGGACACAUGUCGGUGGGUGACAGCUGAGGGCUUCAUCCUUAUGUGUGGAAGGAGAGCUUGACAGAAAGAUAGACAGACAUGCACACAUACCCACACCCACAACUCUCAGUUCCUAAGACCCGGAUGACUACAGAGUUUCACAGGUGGCAUCUGUUCCCGAGAGGGUUGUCUCCCCCAACCAAUAUGGC
rnacentral:lncRNA from 1 species